rnacentral:rRNA from 1 species
AUUGAACGCUGGCGGCAUGCCUUACACAUGCAAGUCGAACGGCAGCACGGGAGCAAUCCUGGUGGCGAGUGGCGAACGGGUGAGUAAUAUAUCGGAACGUGCCCAGUCGUGGGGGAUAACGUAGCGAAAGCUACGCUAAUACCGCAUACGAUCUAUGGAUGAAAGCGGGGGAUCGCAAGACCUCGCGCGAUUGGAGCGGCCGAUAUCAGAUUAGGUAGUUGGUGAGGUAAAGGCUCACCAAGCCGACGAUCUGUAGCUGGUCUGAGAGGACGACCAGCCACACUGGGACUGAGACACGGCCCAGACUCCUACGGGAGGCAGCAGUGGGGGGAUUUUUGGACAAUGGGCGCAAGCCUGAUCCAGCAAUGCCGCGUGCAGGAUGAAGGCCUCGGUUGG